UGGGGAAUAUUGCACAAUGGGCGCAAGCCUGAUGCAGCCAUGCCGCGUGUGUGAAGAAGGCCUUCGGGUUGUAAAGCACUUUCAGCGGGGAGGAAGGCGGUGAGGUUAAUAACCUCAUCGAUUGACGUUACCCGCAGAAGAAGCACCGGCUAACUCCGUGCCAGCAGCCGCGGUAAUACGGAGGGUGCAAGCGUUAAUCGGAAUUACUGGGCGUAAAGCGCACGCAGGCGGUUUGUUAAGUCAGAUGUGAAAUCCCCGGGCUCAAACUGGGAACUGCAUCUGAUACUGGCAAGCUUGAGUCUCGUAGAGGGGGGUAGAAUUCCAGGUGUAGCGGUGAAAUGCGUAGAGAUCUGGAGGAAUACCGGUGGCGAAGGCGGCCCCCUGGACGAAGACUGACGCUCAGGUGCGAAAGCGUGGGGAGCAAACAGG
rnacentral:rRNA from 1 species